GGGGCUGUAGUUUAACCUGGCAGAAGUGAAUUCAUUAGAAUUGAUUGUCAAAAGCUCUCGCCUCCAGAGCGAGGAAUGGGGGUUCAAAUCCCUCCAGCCCCACCA
rnacentral:tRNA from 1 species